GUUGCCUGGCUAUAGUGAAUGCAGUUUCCGCCCUCAUAUUUGGUCUCAUGGCAAUAGUCUUUGGAUCAAUGCUUCUGGCCCUUGGAAGUAGUUGUUCGAUUCCUCUCUUCUGGUGCUAUGAAAUUGCAGCAUGGGGUUUAGUUAUCCUUUACGGUGGUACAGCCGCCUUCUUGAGAAGGAAAGCGGCAGAGGAGGGCGAUUAUGCUAGCCAUAUUGUGGGCCUUGAGAUGCUCGAGACCACAAUUGAGGUGAUCCCAGAGGCGCAGAGGCGUGUAAACGAUGGCUUCAAGACAUGGAUGGGGUCAUCGCUUCUAUCUUCAGACGAGGAGGAAGCUUUGGAUGACUAUAUAGAGCACAAUGCUCCUGCCCCGAAAGCUUCAGUUCAGCACAGGAAGGAAAAUGAUUUACAAGAGCUGACUUAAUGUAUAAACAGAUGUACAUAGUUCACUUAUUCCUUGAGGUUUGGUGAUGUUGUAAAUGCGUGGCUUGGGUUCCACGGCUUAAAAAUGUGUUAUUUCGUUCGUUUUCCACUGGAGAGCAACGAAAAGUGGGGUUAGUUAGCAAGCCAAAUACAGGGAUCCUUCUUUGGAUCACUUACUAUUCGUCCAUUUCAAUCCGGGGGCGAAAUAGUAAACAGGAAUGCAGUCUCUAUCUUAUGCGCAUUGUUAUUUUACUUUGUGCCCAUGUCGGUUUAAUUUGUUGAGUUUUUCCCACAACGGUUGAUGGGACGAGAUGCUCUUGUAGUGGGCCAUGUCGCAUUUGGGUUGGAAAAGCUGGAUAGCAGACCUGAGAUUGCCUAACAAUGACAUAACAGUGACAUAAGAGCACAAAUUUGGAGAGUUACAUCUCCAUUUUUGCAUCUUCAAAAAAGUGCCAACUCCAACAGGUGAUGCAAAACGAAGAAGUAAAAGAGCAACUCUAAUAGAAGAUGCAAACUAAAGAUGUAAUACCGGCCGGCGGUCCAGCUGCAUUUGCAUAUUAAAUUUUCAUAAUUCUAUCAACAAAAAGUGCAUCAUCAACCAUAAUUUUAAAUCCUACAAGCAAAAUUCAAUUCUCUCAAACGAAGCUCUUGGUCCAACAAAUAAAAAUGCACAUAGACAUCACCUAGUUUGCGUCCUCUCCGUUGUCACUAGUGCCAUUAUGGAUAGUGGUAUGAUCAUCAUCAAUGGCUUUGUCGAUGUUUUCUUGCGUUGAAGUCUCAUUGCCGCGAACUCCACCGAAAGCACCUUCAUUGCCACCUCCCAUGCCGCUCAUGUUGCCACCGAAACCAUCUCCCAUGCCACUCAUCAUGUUGUUGUCAAAGCCACCUCCCAUGCCACUCAUCAUGUUGCCGUCAAAGCCACCUCCCAUGCCCUCAUCAUGUUGCCGCUGAGGCCACCUCUCAUGCCGCUCAUGUUGCCGCCGAAGCCACCUCUCAUGCCGCUCAUGUUGCCGCCGAAGCCACCUCCCAUGCAACCGAAGCCAUCAUCCAUGUUGCCACCAAAGCCAUCCCCAUGUUUCCAUCAAAUGCACCAUUCACGGCACCUCCCAUCAUGUUCAUGUACCCGCCCAUUCCACCUCCAAUUCCUCCGCCCAUGGGACCUCCCAUUCCUCCUCCCAUCAUGCUUCUCAUGAGCAUUUGCUUCUUCAUGAGUAUUUCAUCAUGACAAAGUUUGACAUACGCCUUUUCCUUGCAUCAAGAGUAGAUAAGUCCAUGAACAUAAACUUGAGUGCUUUCUCCUCCACCAUCUUCACCUCCUCGGCCAUCGCCUUUCUCUCCUCAAGCUCAACCUUUCUCUCCUCGUCCGCCGCCAACCUCUCUUCGGUCGCCGCCCUCUGUCUCUCGGCUUCACUCCUCUCCUCCAGUUCUUUGAGUUUCAACAAUCUUUUUUCUUCUACAUACUCUUUCCUCGCAAUGAUGAUGUCAUCAAAUCCUUCUUUGAGAUCAUUGUCUCCGGCCUUGGUUUCCUUCACUUUCUUAGUUCCAUCGGGCCUAUUGAUCUAGUCGCCAAGUGAGGGGUGGGGCUCCUUUUCUCAUCACCAGGGCCAUCUUCUUCAUCCUCCACCACCACACUUUUCUUCUUCGAAGCAUCGAAAACUUCUCUAGUUUUCCACUUCUCCUCAUCCUUGAGCUCUUUGUAGCAAUGAUGAAAAGUGAAAGCUCUUCCUUUCUUCUUCCUCUUCUCUCCUUUGUUGUUCUUAUCUCAAAAUAAUCCUCGCACAAUCAUUUUUUUUAGAAAAAACAACCAACAUGCCAUCAUCAAACUGGUCAACAUUUCAACAAUUGCGGAAAGUAGAGAAAGCACACAAGAACAAAUGAUUAUUACUAAGUCACUAUCACCGCAACAACUCGGGUUCAUGCGAUCAACAUUUGUCGAGCAACCGACCCACUUUUGACAUUCGACGUUGAUGGUGUCCCAACGUUGACAAAGAGUCACGAUAGUGUCCGCUAGUGUUGCUCUCAACGAAGUACUCCUUGAUGCGUUGCCAAUAAGUGUUGGUGGAUUGGUCGGUCCCAACGGUUGCAUCUUGAGAGACUUUCUUCCAUGCGAUGCAAAUUAACACAUCUUCGACGUUGGUAUAAUUUGUGGUUCUUCCCUUCAUAACGAAGCCCUCAUCAUCCAUGUCGGGAUAUCCAUCGCAAUAUUGUUGAGUUUCAUAUUCUUCUGAUGCAUAUCAUGUGAAUAAUCAUCAUUUGUCACAUUUGUUGCACGCAUGAAAGGUUCAUCAUCAAGACUAUAAAUGGACGUACACGUAAUCAACUUCACAUUCUAUGGGAAUCGAUAAUUGAAACAACAAACAAACGCACAAACGAUUUUUUUACCUUUGCCACAAAUCGUCGAACACGUUGGAUGCGGUUGCCGUUGGCGGAGGUGGAUGAGGAGUUCCGUGCCGGAGGAGGACGCCAAGGUCGGUAGCGGCUGCAAAUCACCCGCCGUUGCCAUGUCCGGCUUCGAGAUUUUGGCUGGCUGAGGUUGGUUCCCCGUCGGGUUGCGGCCCUACGCUGUUGGCCGCUUCAUGCCUCCACCGCGUGGCUUGGUGCCCCCCUGCUUCUUUGCAAGCGCCUUUGGUGCGACGAUGACCAGCCGGGGUGGGGAAAAUCCAGGGCAGCAACAUGGAGGCGGAGGCCACAUUGGGGAAAGUUGGCGCGGAGGUGGCAACCGCGACGAGGUGGGUCAGGGCACCGGCAGCGGAGUCGGAGAAGGCGGUGGGGUCAUCGGCGACGACUGGCAGCGAGAAGGAGGUGGACGGGCGGGAGUCGGGUGGCGGCUGCUCGCGGAGAAGAGAAUGGAGCGAUAGUUGGGCAGUUGGCGGGCGGUUGAGUUUUUACAUCUCCAUAUGGUGGAGAUGCAAAUUUGGAACUUGAAGUGUUGUAUUUUACAUCUCCGGGUGGCGGAGAUGUAUUUUUUCAUCUACAACAUCUGUUGGAGAGGUGUUUUUGGGCCUCGGAGAUGCAAAAGGUAGUUAUUUUUGCAUCUACAUCUUCUAUUGGAGAUGCUCUAAGGGCAUGGCCAAUGCAUAGCCCCAGGGUGAUGCCUCACAUACCAUGUAGGAUCGGAUGACAAGAAAAGUAGGUUCAGAUAGGGAAGCGGGAUCCUCUGCAGGAGGCAGGUGCUUGGAGAGAAAUGUGUGGUCUGGUGUAAAAAGCUAAAAAAGUUGUAGUGGAGAGUAGAGAUGCAUGUGUACUAGAGUCUUUAUUUUUUUAUUCCUUGAUGAGGCCCACUAGUGGUUGAUUGCAUUGGGGAGAAAAAAAUAAUCAAUGCAGGUGCCUCAAACUACUUUUUCUCACGGGGCAUCUGUAUCCAUAUGCCAUCAUAGUUUAUGCCCUAAGAGUAUCUACAGGUGGGCGCCCCAAAUUGGUCUCAAACGCCCGGGCGGCUCGCCCGGUAGUGACAGGUCAUGAAAUUUUGACCCAGACAGGUACCUCAAACGCCCGGGCUGACCGGCACCCUCAUAUCCAGCCCAAAUAUGGAAUGGAUACGGUGACGCCCGGGCGCGUCUGCCGCGUUGGACCCGGCCCACCCGACCCCACAUAUAUUCCCCUGACCAAACCCUAGCCACCCCACUACACUCCCUCUACCACCCAAGAUCACCUCAGACUGUCUCUGGCAUGGCGGACAAUGGAUCCAUGUCCUUCACCUCCAGAUCCGUCGACCCUGAGCUCAACCCACGCAUCCCCGAGGAGGAGAUGGCCGUCCGGUUUGCGCUUGGCCGCUACCGGGAGGAGGCCCGUGCACGACAUCGCUUGGACUCCUUCCAUCAGAAAUCCAUUGAGUCCGCCCAAAUGGCGCAUGGAUCUGGUGCUAGGGAAGCCAUUGCUGCCUCACCGAAGGUGGUGCGGUCUGUCUGAUGUCCGAACGCGGUGGCGGACGCACAACCCCUCUGUUGGUGUGCCGUGUCAUGCCCGCCAUGUGAGGCAGCGGGCGCGAGAGGCGGCUAUAGCCUCGUGACAGUGGGCGCCGGUGAGGCGGAGUCACAUUCUUUGGUGCCCCUUAUGGUGCACCAGUUCGGGUGCCGCAACAACAUCAUGGUGGAUGUCGCCAGCUCGUCCCAAGAUGGAUCGAUCAUUGAUCUGACAUCCACCGGGAUCCAAUAGAUUCCGGGCUCCGAGGAGAAAGAGUAGGGCAUGGGAGAAGGCGGCGCCUUGAAUUCCAUGAGGCGACUCAUGUUCCAUGCCAUACGCUACCUUGCCGGCGACCGGACCAACACUCUGGGGAGCGCAGCCAGCCGCUGGACAUGGGCACAACGAUGGGACGAGCUCUGCUUAAAGAUCGCUACAUUGCAUGUAAUACUAUGGAUUUGAGAUUUCUAAUUUGAGGUAUACGAAUGUGGAAUGCAUUAUGAGGCGUGACCGGUCAGUGUCUGUGGAUGGUCUAAGAGUUGGAGUGCCUAGAAAUAAAUUAUGACGGACUCAUGAGUGGUCGUUCAUGAUUGGUUGGCUGGCAAAUGUUGCUUUUUCAGUAAAAGUUGGUUACAUUUCUUUAUGCUAUUUGUGCCCUUCACUGGUUUACUGCUUGAGUCUGUGGAUUGCUUCCAAGCGAAGCUCAAAGAAUUGUCACCAAUUAAUGACUUCUCAUAGUAAGAUUUUGAAACUGGAAUUGGAAGGUUGAUAGCCAAGGAGUGACAAAUAAGUAAAUUUACCGGCACAACUUUUUUUUGCUCUAGAAAAGAAACAAUUUGAAAAUGUUCAAUUGUAUGAAAUGAAUUUCUUGGUCCCGAGAUUUCUUACCAUCAAAUUGGUUAAAAGCCUCGAUUUGUGGGCAAUUUCUAGAAUUAUUUAUGUUAGAGUACGUAAUGGGCCUAAUGGCCUGGGCUGGCGGUAUAGCCCGUUAGUCUUAGGGUUAAUUAGAGAUAAGGGUCGCUUUCUUAGGGGUCAAGUAAGCCUUGCUUGGGAGUCAAGUAAACCUCUCUAUAUAAAGAGAGGAGAUGUAUCAAUCUAAUCAAGCAAGAAUUAAGAAGGAAAUUCCUUCCAUCUUGCCCGGCCGUGGGCAAAAGACCCCCGGCCGGCCCUCUCGCGCCCUCCUUCUAGCAGCGCCAUAACAAUUUGGUAUCAGCUAGCUUCGGUUCGAUCAUGUCUUCACCGCCGCCCAACCCGUCUCUUCCGUUGCCGGUCACGACCGUCGCCCCGCUCCUGCCCGCGCCGGGAUCUUCCGUCGCGCCCGCCCCCGUCGUCCUCACCCCGGAGGUGCCCGGGGCGCUGCGGGACCUAACACAGGCGGUCCAGGAGAUCCAUCUGUUCUUGGCCGGGUCCUAUGGGCCGCACCCGGCUGCGCCGCCCAUCACCGCCAUCGCGCCGCCGUGGCUGCCGUGGCAGCUGCCGCACCAAGCGGCCCCCGCCGCGCUCGCCGGGCUGCUGUAGCAGCCGCUGCAGCUGCCAUCCAUCGCCCCGUCCUGGCUGCUGUGGCAGUCGCCGUACCAGUCGGCCUCUGCCGCACUCGUCGGGCUGCUGCAGCAGCCGCUGCAACUGCCAUCCACCGCCACCACCGCCCCGUCCUGGCUGCCGUGGCAGCCGCCGCACCAGGUGGCCUCCGCCGCGCUCAUCAGGCCACUGCAGCAGCUGCCAUCCACCGCCCCGCCCUGGCUGCAGUGGCAGCCACCGCUCCUGGCGACCUCCGCUGCGCCCGGCGCUCCGCCGCAGCAGCCGCUGCAACUGCAGCAGCCAUCACCGGUCAGCUCCGGCCCCGCAUCGACCGCGCCGACGGGAGUCCCGAUCCACCAGAUCAAGUUCCCGCCGUCGCCAUCACCGCUUCCCCAGGGCGUCCCCAUCCAGUAGAUCAAGCUUCCGCCGCCGCUGUCACUGCUUCCAGCUUGGACCACUACCCGCCACGUGUCGGCAACGGUGAGGCUGCAGGCUGCUGCACGCAGCCUCCUAGCGCGUCGGCGUGUGCGGGAGUUGCGUGGUCUGCAGCUGCCGCUCCUCCCAGUUGCGCUUCGCUGCGCAAAGGACCUCGAUCUCGUCCGCUGUGUCGGGGAUCUUGGGCAUGCUAUUUUCCCCAUGGACAACGCCCUCAAAGUCUGCGACAUCGGCGGUUGGGGAGGCGCACCCCUCCUCGCCAUUGUCCAUCGACAACCCUCCACUCUUCUAUGUGUGGUGCCGACCAACAGCCGUCCGGCGGGGAGAAGGCAUGGUGUCACCGACAAGAGCGCACCGCGUAGCACCACUGCAUUCCGCCGCCGGCCGCCGCGAGGGCGCCUCUGCUGGUCGCUCUUGCGACCACUUCCAGGUGGCCAUACACAUGCACUGCUUUUGUCCAGAUGGUGUCCAUGGGAUCCAGGUGGCUGUACACGUGCACGUCCGACGUGCGGAUGGUAUCCACUUUUUGUUAAGAGGUCCAAAAUAAAUCAUCCGAGUCCAUUUCAGGUUGAGAGUAAUAAAACAAGCCGAGAUGUAAAAGGCUUGUUUUUAGGUGUUAGGUUUGUGUUGCCUCGAGUCAUGGUUAUAAGUUGGUUAGGCUGCAGCUUGAGGACAAGCUGCAUGUCCAGGUGGGGUGUAGUGUUAGAGUACGUAAUGGGCCUAAUGGCCUGGGCUGGCGGUAUAGCCCGUUAGUCUUAGGGUUAAUUAGAGAUAAGGGUCGCUUUCUUAGGGGUCAAGUAAGCCUUGCUUGGGAGUCAAGUAAACCUCUCUAUAUAAAGAGAGGAGAUGUAUCAAUCUAAUCAAGCAAGAAUUAAGAAGGAAAUCCCUUCCAUCUUGCCCGGCCGUGGGCAAAAGGCCCCCGGCCGGCCCUCUCGCGUCCUCCUUCUAGCAGCGCCAUAACAAUCUAUGAUCUAUUUUGGAAAUACUUUCUUUGUUUAGAUUGUUUUUUGUUGGAUGCUUACCAUCAGCCGAUUCCAAGAAAAUCCCCUCACAUGGUUUAAAAAAUGCCGACUCCAGGCUCGCCCGAUUCUGAUAGGUGUACUUAACAUGGCAUUUCCGUGAUUAAAUAAUACAUAAUUCUGGUUGUUGCCACCAAGUCUCUUGCUUCCAUUAAGCUCAGCCUUAGUAGAAGUGGGUAGUGGCACUGGGUGGAUGACCUAUUCGCCCUUAAAUGGUGUUCCCAACCAUUUUGGAGGAGCACUUGAUUAACAAUUUUUAGUUUUCAUCUAUUAGGUGUUUCAUCAAUUUUAGGUUCUACCAAUUUUAUAACAACUAGAGAUAUGGUAACAGAGGGCAUACAAGGUAAGAGAGCAUACGAGCCAUCUACUCUAUCCACCUAACCUAACCGCAACCAUAACACAACCUUGCCUUCCCCUUCGCAUCACCCACGGAGAAGAAUUCACAAGGAACUUACGUGAUUGGCAACUUUUAUUAAUUAUAAGUUGAAGUUGUUCUAUGAUCAAAUAAACCAUCUUCAAGUCGCCCAUAACCAUAGACACGAUUAUUCAAAAAGAUUUAACCUAACAGGGGUGGACUGUUAGGGUUGAAUUCAGUGGAUCUCGGGUAGGGGGCCCUGAGCUGGUGAUCUUGGCUAGAUGGUAACAUGACAAAGAGGGGAAAAUGUUUUACCCAGGUUCGGGCCCUCAUGAAAAGGUAAACCCUACGUCCUGUUUUUAGUAUAUUUAUUGUGGAUGGGGUACAAAGUACAUGAUGAUCUACCUCGAGGUCGUAUGUGAAUGUCUCUAACCGUACAAACUAAACCCCUCGGCUUGUAUAGGCAUUGAGGGUACCUAGGGUUACAUGUAGGUCGGUUACAUGAAGGGAUAAACAUGCCGAUGAUGCAAACGUGCCUUGAAGUAUGCACCAAGUCUUCGAGGGAUUCCAUCUUGAGUAUGUAGUCGGGCAUGGCAAACAUGGCCCACUUGUUAGUCGUCUGGGGGUCCUCGUCCCAACCCAUGAGUAGGGGUCGACAUGAUUAGCACCCCCUAGUCCAUGACGCCGUCAUGCACCAAGUUACCCAUACAUGCUCAAUCAUCUCUUAAAGGCCCAUGAGUAGCACACUUCAAGUAGUGUAUGCUAGUAGAGUGGUGAUCGACACAACAACUUCACUUAUGCUCCAAACAAGUCCAGGGAGUCACCCAAUUGAGUUGUACCUAAAUAAAGAGUCCAGUCUUUGCUCUGAGUCGGACCCAACCAUCGCGAGAGGUUCUAGGUAGGGUAGACUCCGAUGUGUAUGUAAGCUUUCUGUGAUAACCUCACCCAAUGAAACAAGAAUAGAAACAUCUCAUACUUACCCUAGACAAUGAUGAUUCAUGCAACGAUGCAUAUGCCAAAUGGAAAGCCCAAACUAAGUGACUCCUGGAUAGGUCUGUUGUAGUGUACUAAGUGGAGGAGGGUCCCAUUAAACCUCCCGUUAGUGGUUAGCACGCUUAGUCUGGGAACAAGAUAACAAGAACUCGGGUCCUAGUGCGGCUCGAGUGGAACAAAUCACCGAUGCUCUAAGCAUGGCCUCCCACCGUUGCCUUUAUCACAUACUUCCUCCGUUCUGUAAUGUAGUGCAUAUAGAUUUUUUGAAAAGUCAAAUCUCACAAACUUUGACCAAGUUUUUGGAGAUUUUUGUAACAUAUAUAAUGCGAAGCAUAUAUCAUUAGAUUUGUUAUAAGCAGUUUCAUAUUAUAUAUAUAUUUGGUAUUGUAGAUAUAAAUAACUUUCUCUACAAACUUGGUCAAAGUUUGUAAAGUUUGACUUUUCAAAAAAUCCAUGCACACUAUAUUAUGGAACAAAGGGAGUGUUAUAUAUAAUAAUCUCCAGAAGCAUACAAACAUAAAAGCAUUAGAGCUAGCUUAACAUGUGUGGUAACCUAAGCAAUAUCAAGUAUAGACGACAUAACUUAGCAUAACCCUAAGCAUGGAAAACUAUGACAAGAUAAGCACGGAUAAACAUGGCAACCUUUCUUUAAAUGAGGAGUUCCGUCGAUAUGCAAAAUAGUUGCAUAUCCAGCUUCACUUAACCUAUAGUUAAUUGUUUGUCGCCCAUGCCAUGUCAUGCUUGCUUAUGUUUGUGGAACAACCAUGAGUGUUUGUUUACCAUAUCGUUGCUUCUUUCCGAUUUGGUUCUUAUCAUUAGAGUUCUGUCAAGGAUGUACCCCAUGGUAUAACCCGACCUGAAGUAUGACCCAGCAGGGACUUGGCGCCUCAUUGGUAACCCGCCCGGACUUGGCGGUUCGUGAGAGGGCCGACUCAAGGAGAGGCCUGGAAGGCCGGAUCACGGAGAAGGUCCAAGAGGAGCAAGACCUAGCAAGGGAAGCAAGACCCGAACUUGUAUCUGGCUUGUAAUAGAAGAUAGACUAGUCCUAAUCUUACUAGGACUCUACAUGUAAGCCAGCACCUUCAACUUAUAUAAGGAGGGGCAAGGCAUCCCAAGAGGGACAAGUUGAGAUAGAUAGACAAGUCUUAGACAAGAUCAAAGUAGACACUCUCGAGAUAGAGGCAGUGAAACACCGCCCUUGUAAUCGAGAUCAUCAUCCUCAUCAAUAUCAAUCCAGCAGGAUGUAGGCUAUUACCUCCACCGCGAGGGGCCAAACCCGGGUAAAACUCGCGUCUCUCGAUUUCGUCCAACCCUGUUCAAGCUACUACCUAGUUGCGAUGGCCUCACAAUGAAGUCCUCACACUAGGCCAUCUGCCGUGACAAAACCACGACAGUUGGCACCCAUCGUGGGGCCAACACACGAUGGUGUUGUGUUCUUGAAGGGACCUCAACCUACGUAGCAUCGAUACGCCAAGAAGUGCUGUAUCGCCAUUCCAGAUGGCUCCGACACGCUGAUAUGCAGAGAAGUAUCCCGUUUUUUUCGAUUUAAACAAAAAGAAAAAAAUGUUGAUACGACAAUGACACACUUGUGACACGACUAGGACACAUCGAGCGACCGAGCGCAGCCCCGAGCGAGCCCAAUAGCCCACGAACACCUAAACCUAAUCUCUCUCCCGCACUUUGUUUGACCGCAUGAGGAAGGGAUCGAGGGCGCUCACCGCUGCAGCCACCGCCUGCAGUGGCUUGCCGUUGUCGCCUCCGCCAGCUGGAGUGGCUCGCCGUCGUCGCCCACACAGUCUAGAAUCAACUCCCCGCCUCGAGUCAUCUGCGACGCCGUUGCAAUGUAAACAAUCUCCCCGAGCACCGAGUGAUGUCUGAUGUGUGCUUGUUGUAUGCUUGAUGUAUGCUUGCCUGCUUGCUGGAUUAUUGCCUGGCUGUGCUUGCUGGCUUCCGUAGUAGUACUAGUACACCGAGAGAAAUAGCUGCACAAAGGAGGCUAUCAAUUCUAUCUAUUGCUGCUUGUUGAUGUUUGUUGGAUAGAAGUGUGUGCAGAUGUUGCUGCUUGUUGAUGUAUUUUUUAUUUUGCAUACACCAUAAGGAGUUGAGGACCUGGAUGAUCAUUCAAGACUAGAAAAGAAAAGAGGCUUGGAGGCAAUCAGGCAACUAAUGGAGUUGAGGACAUUUUGUUAUGUUUGUUUUUAUUACAUGUCAUUUUACUAAUUAUUUAUAUAUAUUCGUGGUAUCGCAUAUUUGAUGUUUCUAAAAAUUGCCGUAUCCCGUAUCAUCGUAUCGGUGCAACGUAGAUCUCAACUAGGGAUCGAGAAGCUUGCAAUUGUCCGUGUGACAAAAAACAGGCGCCGGACACUCUGCACCAAGGAUACUACUGGGGCCGAGGCUAGCUCAGAACACUCUGCAUCAAGGAUACUAUAGGGGCCGAGGCCUGCUCAGAAAGGUGUGUAGUGGCGGUGUCUACGGGCGCGAUUCAGCCUCCGUUCAGAGUGACCCCCGCGGUCCAGCACAUUAAAAAAAUGCCAUCUAUGGCUACAUAGUAGGCACGGGGCCUCGCUGCGUGUUAGCGCCACUCCUGCACCAAGCCCAACCGGCGUCGCCGACCGGCGGGGCCCACAGGGCAGUGACCCGCACCACUCACCUGCUGCCUAACGACCACCACGGGCCAAGAAGCCCAACUCUCGAGUGGCUGGGCCAGAGUGUACGCGGUGAAGCCCAACUACGACAGCCACUACUUAAGACAGCGCGAGGGAGAAGCCAGGCAUCCAGUGGAUCACCGAACCGGCAGCGUCACGAACCCUACUUUAUCUUCCUGUUACUCCCCAAUUCAUGUAUUCCUGCUUGUAAUCGCACCAGCUACAGUAAUUCAAAGCAAUAGAUUGCCUCUCCUAUCACUACUCUUACAUCUGGUACCAGAGACCAGUCCACCACCCCUUCCGUUCGCCGAUCUGGCGCAAUUUCUAGAAACCAGAAGCACCCGUCAAGGCCGAGCUCUCCUUGAAUCGAUGGAUCCGUCGAUCCAAUCCUCCCUCAACCGGUGGGAGUCACUCAUCGCGGCCAACACCAAGGCCCAACAAGCCACGCCGGCCAAGGUCGACGACCUCUUGACUUGGCGACCAGAUCUGGAGCAACGCGUCUUCGAGCUGGGUGUGGCGGUCGCGACGCUGCAAUCCGCGGUGUUGGCGACACAACCGGCGAGUGAGGACGCAGCGGUGGGUACGACACUCGUUCCGCCACCGCCAGCGACACUCGGUGCUCAUCCAAGCACUGGGACCGGCGCGACGCGCGAUCCCCACGGGUCUGAGGACCGCGGUGUGACGCCCGGAUAAUUAAGCUACAGUAAUCCCACACUAAUGAUGCCACAUCACCACUAUUACUGUUACUAAUCUCACGUUGAUCCAAAUCCGGUUCAAAUUCAAAUUCAGAUAAUAAGUAAAAUUUUGAAAUUCCCAAACAUGAAAACUAAAAUGUUCAUCAUGUGGCAAAUAAUCCCUAACUUAUUUUGGUGUUGGAACCAACCUUUUUAAAAAUGUUUAAAUGCCCUAAGCUAAAUAAAAGCUGAAAUAACAAUUUAAUUGCUUUUUAAAUUAUAAAAAUAUUAAACUAAGUUGUUUUGGUAUCAAACUAGGUUUGGCAGUGGCCUAUAUUAAUGAUACUAAUUUAGGUGCUGACUGGGUAUAUUAUAAAACUAAAAUAUAUAGAAGCUAAGUUAGAAAGGAAAAUAGAUAAAAGGAAAAGGUUAAACAAAAAAAACAAAAAAAAAACAUAAAAACA
rnacentral:lncRNA from 1 species